GAUGAACGCUGGCGGCGUGCCUAAUACAUGCAAGUCGAGCGAACAGACGAGGAGCUUGCUCCUCUGACGUUAGCGGCGGACGGGUGAGUAACACGUGGAUAACCUACCUAUAAGACUGGGAUAACUUCGGGAAACCGGAGCUAAUACCGGAUAUAUAUUUGACCGCAAGGUUCAAUAAGUAAAAGCGGUUUUGGCUGUACUUAUAAGAGGAUCCGCGCCGCAUUAGCUAGUUGGUAAGGUAACGGCUUACCAAGGCAACGAUGCGUAGCCGACCUGAGAGGGUGAUCGGCCACACUGGAACUGAGACACGGUCCAGACUCCUACGGGAGGCAGCAGUAGGGAAUCUUCCGCAAUGGGCGAAAGCCUGACGGAGCAACGCCGCGUGAGUGAUGAAGGUCUUCGGAUCGUAAAACUCUGUUAUUAGGGAAGAACAAAUGUGUAAGUAACUAUGCACGUCUUGACGGUACCUAAUCAGAAAGCCACGGCUAACUACGUG
rnacentral:rRNA from 1 species